AACGCACCUUGCGCCCUUUGGCUAUUCUGAAGGGCAUGCCUGUUUGAGUAUCAUGAACACCUCAACUCUCGUGGUUUGCCACGAUGAGCUUGGACUUUGGGGGUCUUGCUGGCCUAUGGUUGGCUCCUCUUAAAUGAAUCAGCUUGCCAGUGUUUGGUGGCAUCACAGGUGUGAUAACUAUCUACGCUUGUGGUUUUCUGCCAGGUAACCUUCAGUGAUGGAGGUUCGCUGGGGCUCACAAAUGUCUCUCCUCAGCGAGGACAGCUUUUUAACGUUUGAUCUCAAAUCAGGUAGGACUACCCGCUGAACUUAA
rnacentral:misc_RNA from 1 species